rnacentral:rRNA from 1 species
UACGGGGGGGGGCAAGCGUUUGUUCGGAAUUACUGGGCGUAAAGGGCUCGUAGGCGGCCAACUAAGUCAUACGUGAAAUCCCUCGGCUUAACCGGGGAACUGCGUCUGAUACUGGAUGGCUUGAGUUCGGGAGAGGGAUGCGGAAUUCCAGGUGUAGCGGUGAAAUGCGUAGAUAUCUGGAGGAACACCGGUGGCGAAGGCGGCAUCCUGGACCGACACUGACACUGAGGAGCGAAAGCCAGGGGAGCAAACGGG